rnacentral:pre_miRNA from 1 species
GGUGGGGGGCGGGGGUCCCUCAGCCUGGAUUGUAAGAAGGUGCAGGCCAGGCUGAGGGACUCCACCAAUGCACG